rnacentral:rRNA from 1 species
UCUAAGCUAUAAAAAAAAAUUAUAGCCUAGAAAAGUAUAUAAAGAAACUAUUAGGGAUGCCUGAGCUAUAUAUUAAAGAGAGAUUGGAAAUUAAUCAUUUAAUUUGUGUAUUGAAAAAAAAAGUUUACACAUGAACUCUUAGAUAAAUUCAAUAAUAAACGAAGUGAAUUGAAAUAUCUUAGUAACUUUAGGAAAAUAAAUCAAACGAGAUUCUAUGAUUAUUGUGAAUGAAAGUAGAACAGCCUAUGUUAAUAUUAAUUAAUAAAGUAAAACGGAUUAAAUCUGUUUGAAUAUUAAGGGGAACCUUCCUCUAAGGCUAAAUAUAAUAUAUAAGCGAUAGCGUAUAGUACUGUGAAGGAAAGGUUUGAAAUAGUAGUUUUAUAAGCAGCUCAAAUAUAUUUUUAAUAAUAAGUAAGAGCGUACCUUUUGCAUAAUGGGUCAGCGAGUUAAUGUUAGAUGCGAGCAGUAAUGCCUAGAUAAACCAAUUAUGAGAUAAUGAUUUAGUAUCUAAAAUUAGACCCGAAGCCUAGUGAUCUUACCAUAGUCAGGGUUAUAAAAGCCCGAACGGGUUAUCGUUGUAAAGAUAUCCGAAGAACUGUGGUAAGUUAGUGAAAGACAAUACUGACUAGGAUAGCUGGUUUUCUGCGAAACCUAUAUAAGUAGGUAAUUCAAAUUACAUCAUAGCAGGUACAGAACUGUGAUCUCAGGCAACUUUUAAUGUUUUAUUAUAAUAACUAUAAUAAGACGGAAUUUUGCAUAUAUCGGGCAGCCGUGAAGGUUUUUAUCGGUGAGUAUUCGCACUCGGAAGGGCAAUGAUGAAUAUUGAAUAAUCGGACAUAGUACGAUAAGGUUGUAUGUCUAAAGGGAAACAGCCCAGAACAAGAGUUAAGGUUCCAAAAUUAUUGUUAAGUGAAAUUAAGGUAGUUUCUAUGUAAUACGACCAGGAAAUAGGCUUAGAAGCGGUCAUUUUUUGAAGAUCUCGUAACAGAGCACUGGUUUGUGCUUCGCCUAAAUUAAUUUUUAUGCGCAAGCGUUUGAUAGUUGCACCGAAAAUUUAACGGAUCUAAACAAUAUACCGAUACCUUGUCCAUAUUUACUUAUAAUUUAUAUUAUAGUAUCUGGUGGGGUAGCAGAACGUUGGGUAAUGUAUAAUUUUUUCUUAUUAAGAAAAUAAAUUUAAUAUCCCAAGAGAUAAUGCUGACAUGAGUAACGAAAAAGGAUACACUUCAUAUCUUAACAGGUAUGAAAUGCCAUAUCCUAACGGAUAUGGGACGUCCUCGCCUAAAGCUUAUGGAUUUUAUAAAGUAACGGCCUCUAAGUUUACCAACCUAAAGGAUUAAACGAUGAGAAAAUCUUAGUUAUAUAGUAACAACCUUCUUUAAGUAAGUGAAGAGGGUUCUGGAAAAACAAUAACUACCUAUAUUACUUUAAUAAACUCAAAAGAUGAAAAGUAAUUAUAGGGACCAAUAACCGUACCUAAAAACUACCACAAGUAAGCUAGUAGAGAAUACGAAGGCGUUUGAGCGAACAAUCAUUAAGGAACUCGGCAAAUUAACUACCGUAACUUCGGGAUAAGGAGGGCCAUUCCUCCUGAUUAAUAUCAGGUAAAGAAGAGGAAGCAUGGAAUAAUGUUGUACGACUGUUUAAUUAAAACAAAGCACUCUGCAGUAAGAUAAUAAAUCAAAGUAUUGAGUGUGAUUUCUGCCCGAUGUCGGCUGGUUAACGGAUUUGCUAAGUUGACUAAUACAAGCUUGGCUUUGAAGGAAACCCCGAUCAAUGGCGGCUUUACCGAUGAGGGUCCUAAGGUAGCGGAAUACCCUGGCCGUUAAAUGCGGUCUUGCAUGAAUGAUUUAACGAUACAACAGCUGUCUCAAUGAUUGGCUCAGUGAAAUUGGAAUAACUGUGCAGAUACAGUUUACCUCUAGUUAGACGAGAAGACCCUAUGCAGCUUUACUGUUGCUAAUUAUUGGAUAUGAUACAAUUAUGACUUUAGCGGAUAAGGUAGACGUAGGGGUAAUUCCUUUGGGAAUAAAUUAAUUGCAUAUUAAUAUAUGCAAUUAAUUUAUUUGUGCAGCGUUGAAACACCUUUGUUAAAUUUAUCAUAUUGAUAGACUUUGUCUAUAUGAAAAUACUGGUAUAUGUUUAACAUAUAUCGGUACAUUAACCUUUUUAUAAGGAACAAUUGCUAGGAGGCAGUUUAUGCGGGGCACAGAUCCCAUAAAAAGUACCUGGGUGUAUCCAAAAUUAAUUUUGUAAAAUUAUCUUAAUUAAAUUAGGAUUAUUAAAUAUAUGAAAUUUGUAUAUUUUUUUUUAGUAUGUUAUUAAUUAUAGCUUAAGCUAUAAUUAAUUCAGUUAUAUAUCUAUUAAGUUAGAACUAACAAUUUAUAUUCAAGUAAGAUUUUAACUAUAUGGAAAAUAGUUGUAAAAAAAGACAUUUUUUUUUUAUGUUUUUUUUUUAGUUAUAUUAUUAGUUUGUUUAUUUAAACAAAUAAUUAAAAACACUAAUAACAUAAUUAUGAUUAAUACUUGUCAAGUUUAAUGGCUUAAUCUUGCUUUACUGUUUGACUUACAAGUCUAUCAGUCGCGUAAGCGGGGCAUAUGAUCACAAGAUGCAGAAAGGAAAGGUCUUGGAUUUUUGAAAAAGCUACGCUAGGGAUAACAGGCUAAUUGCGCCAGAGAGUACAAAUUGAGUGCGCAGUUUGGCACCUCGAUGUCGGCUUAGCUCAUCCACAUGAAUGCAAGAAUCAUGAAGGGUACGACUGUUCGUCGAUUAAAGAGCUACACGAGCUGGGUUAAAUACGUCGUGAGACAGUAUGGUUUCUAUCUUCUAGAGGAAAUUAGAAUAAAAUAAGGUCAGCCCCCUCGUACGAAAGGAGCUGGGUAUAUUAACCUAUGGUUUACCUGUUGUUUAUGUUUGCCUAAUAUUAAUUUAAGUAUAAACAAAAUUGUUUUAUACAGGGCUUUUACUUUCACUUAAGUAAAUUAUAAUUAUAAUUUCAAUAAACUUAAAAGAUGAGGAAUAUAUAGUUGUGCAUAGCAUAGGCACGGCAGGAACGCUAUGUUAGUUAAAAAUAAGUGCUGAAAGCAUCUAGG